rnacentral:rRNA from 1 species
UAGGGAAUCUUCCGCAAUGGGCGAAAGCCUGACGGAGCAACGCCGCGUGAGUGAUGAAGGUCUUCGGAUCGUAAAACUCUGUUGUUAGGGAAGAACAAAUUUGUUAGUAACUGAACAAGUCUUGACGGUACCUAACCAGAAAGCCACGGCUAACUACGUGCCAGCAGCCGCGGUAAUACGUAGGUG